UGUUAAAAUUUUAUUCUGUUUGUACCGUUAAAAAUUUGCGUGCCGGAUAGAAUAGCCAAACACGUCACGUGUAUGUCAUGCUGACAUACGGAGACAAGUUUUUAACAAUAGAAAUAGAUGGAAUUUUUAAUA
rfam:Gossypium hirsutum cultivar TM-1 chromosome 2, whole genome shotgun sequence